CGCGGGGCAGACGGAACGUAGAGGGGUUCGCGCGGGCAAGAAGGGACGCAGACGCUCAGGACCCAAAGGCUGUGGCGUUGCGAGAGGAGGAAGACGCGCAGGGUAUGAACCUCGGCGCGUUCAUCUCGGGGGACCUGAAGGAGAGGGACUCGUGGAGAGUUGAGGGGUGUUUUGGAGGCGAAGCGCAAGGACUGCGCACAGGACUUGAAGGACGACAGGAAGGUGGGGGACUCGGCCCAGGUUCAACGCUACUGGCAGCCAGGGAGAGGCUGGGAGAUGCACAGGCUUGCUGAGGGCUGAGUACAAAUAGGGAGUGCAGAGCUUCAGAAGACUAUGCCGUCUCCUGUGUUGUGUCAGAGUGGAGUGGCUGGAGUCGUUGUGUGAGGCCCUGCCAGGCCUCCUACCGUGUAUGCCGGAGGCGUGUCCUGCAGGAGCCGAGGAAUGGGGGUGUCCCCUGCCCCCUGCUGGAAGAGCAGGCGGGCUGUGUGGAGUACUGGAGCCACCAGGAAUGGAGUGCCAGCAGUCCUUGAGUGAGUGGGGGUGGGGCCCAGGGGUGGCUUUCAGUGGG
rnacentral:lncRNA from 1 species